GCUGUCAAAUUAGCCAGGAUGACUGCCUGAAACCAAGCAAAGGAUCACAUAAUAUGGAUCCUCUGAGUAGAGCAGGCAAGUCAUCCUUGGCUACCAAACAACACUCU
rnacentral:pre_miRNA from 1 species